GCUUUCGCUGUGUUUACAUCUCGGGGUUUCAAGAAAUUCAGAAAAGAUUUAUAGAAAAAAAAAUGUAAAAUGGUGAAUUUUUGCACUAUGCAUGGAAAGAAAGCUUCGUUUUUGGGUGGACACGAGCUUCUGUGUGUUCUGAGGUGUGUUCACUGUGUGUCAAAACAGCCUUUAAUCUUAAUUUCGGAAGGAUUACCGUGUGAUGAACUUGAAUGUCGUGAGGUUCAUGUUUAUAGUUCUAUGGAUAGUUCGAUGAAUAGUCCUUUGUCCAGCUGUGGUUAACGGGAUAAAAAAUGAUGAAUUUGUUCGCUGAUUGCGGUAGUCCUGCACUGGUACAAAUUCAUUCUAGUUGUGUUUUUAAGGUGAGAUGAUUUU